rnacentral:rRNA from 1 species
UACGAAGGGGGCGAGCGUUGUUCGGAUUUACUGGGCGUAAAGGGCGCGCAGGCGGCUCAUUUUGUCAGGCGUGAAAUCCCCGGGCUUAACCUGGGAAUGGCGAUGGUGACUGCAAGGCUAGAGUUUGGCAGAGGGGGGUAGAAUUCCACGUGUAGCAGUGAAACGCGUAGAGAUGUGGAGGAACACCGAUGGCGAAGGCAGCCCCCUGGGUCAAAACUGACGCUCAUGCACGAAAGCGUGGGGAGCAAACAGG